AUUGAACGCUGGCGGCAGGCUUAACACAUGCAAGUCGAGCGAGCGGCGGACCGGUGAGUAAUGUCUUGGAAACUGCCUGAUGACGGGCGAUAACUACUGGUAACGGUAGCUAAUUCUGCAUACCUUCCAUUGUGCCCAGAUGUGGUUAGCUAGUAGGUGGGGUAAUGACUCACCUUGACGACGAUCCCUAGCUGGUCUGAGAGGAGGACCAGCCACACGUGAAAUGAGAAACGGUCAGGACUCCUAGGGGAGGCAGCAGUGGGGAAUAUUGCACAAUGGGCGCAAGCCUGAUGCAGCCAGGCCGCGUGUGGGUAGAAGGCCUUCGGGUUGUAAAGCACUUUCAGCGAGGAGGCGUUACUCGCAGAAGAAGCACCGGCUAACUCCGUGCCAGCAGCCGCGGUAAUUC
rnacentral:rRNA from 1 species